CCAACAUGGAUACCCUUGGAGGUCACUCUAUCCAGGCUUUGUCCAAGUGGUAUAGGGGGUCAUAAGGCUUUGCCCCAUGAUAUACAGUUCCUUUCCACAACAUUGGAGAUGAAGCUGGGCCUUGAGUCUGCACUUGCAUAUUCCUACACUUUCCGGAGUCCUAUGGACAAUGACUGGGGAGAUAAACCAUGCAGGAAACAGCC